CUACGGGAGGCAGCAGUAAGGAAUAUUGGACAAUGGGUGUAAGCCUGAUCCAGCCAUGCCGCGUGCAGGAAGAAGGCCUUCUGGGUUGUAAACUGCUUUUGCCGGGGGAUAAAAGAUCCAUGCGUGGAGAAUUGAAGGUACCCGGUGAAUAAGCCACGGCUAACUACGUGCCAGCAGCCGCGGUAAUACGUAGGUGGCAAGCGUUGUCCGGAUUUAUUGGGUUUAAAGGGUGCGUAGGCGGUCCUGUAAGUCAGUGGUGAAAUACGGCAGCUCAACUGUCGAGGUGCCAUUGAUACUGUGGGACUUGAGUACAGACGAGGUAGGCGGAAUUGACGGUGUAGCGGUGAAAUGCUUAGAUAUCGUCAAGAACACCGAUAGCGAAGGCAGCUUACUAGACUGUAACUGACGCUGAGGCACGAAGGUGCGGGGAUCAAACAGGAUUAGAUACCCGCGUAGUCCG
rnacentral:rRNA from 1 species